rnacentral:rRNA from 1 species
CAGCCGUAAACUAUGCUCGCUAGGUGUCAGGCAUGGCGCGACCGUGUCUGGUGCCGCAGGGAAGCCGUGAAGCGAGCCACCUGGGAAGUACGGCCGCAAGGCUGAAACUUAAAGGAUUGGCGGGGGAGCACAACAACGGGUGGAGCCUGCGGUUUAAUUGGAUUCAACGCCGGAAAUCUCACCGGAUAGGACAGACAUAUGAUAGUCGGGCUGAAGACUCUACUUGAUGAUCUGAGAGGAGGUGCAUGCGUCAGUGACU